UGUGUGGAGACGACCUUUCGCACCGGAGCCUGUGUGCAGAAUUACAUCUUUACCAAAACCCUUAGCACCUGUGGAAGCCUCACUCUCUCACCUGCCCCUGAGACCUGCGUCCACCUUUCUGUCCACGCCGCAGCCACAGGGACCCUCCUAAGGUUCGUCUGCUCAUCUCAGCGUUGCACCCCAAGUACCAGAGUGGGCAGGAGCCUUGGGUCAGGCCCACCGGCGCUUCCGACCUUGCUGCCCUGGCCGCCCGGCCCACUGUGAGCCUCCUCCCGGGGCCCGCACACAUCCAGCUGCCCCCGCCCAGCCUUAUCUACCCGCUCCCCCGUCUUCCUCCUCUGGAAUACUCGGCUUCUGACACCACUCAGCAUUUAUUGAUUUACUGUGUUUGUUUUCCGCCUUUCUGCAAGAACGCGGUAUGAAUUCCACAGGCCGGAAUCUGUGUAUCCUCCUUACCCGAGCAGCACUGAGCUCGCAGCGCGCGCCCUCACAGUGCUCUUGAGGGAAUGAACUGGCCGCCGUUACUUAAGGCGUAAUCCACCCGUUUCCACAAUGAUCUCCACCUUCACAGUUAGUGCUGAUUAAAAAGAUGAACUGUAAUUCUCCACAAUAUCUUAAGAAGAGUGCCAAGCCUGGAGUUGGAGGACUUCAUGAACGUCACCCGAAUAGCCUCAGUCUCAGUUUUCUCACCUGUGACAACAAAAGAUUAGGCGAGGUGCUCAACAGAGACCUCUCUAAUUCUAAGAGUCUAAAACGCCUUGAGAGAAAGAAUGUUUUUUGGCAACAACUAACCAGGCACUGUUUCUUCAAGUUGGCCUAAAAUGGAAGUCAGAAAUCAGAGCUCAGAUUCUUAACUCAGCCACUGAUUUAUAAGCCAGCAAACUGUCAAGAAAUCAUUUUAGUUCUUUCAAAAGAUGGAAAAAUACCAAUCAAUGGAGUACUUCCAUUCCAUCUAAGAACCACGAGAGACCGUGUUCCAUGAGUGUUAAAACUGAAAAUUUUGGAAAACACUCCAGCUGAGGAAAUGUUGACUAAACCCUGGGAGGAGUGGUGCACACCUUAAUCCCAGCACUCUGGGCAGACGGGGCACGAGAAUGGCAGGCUCGAGGCCCAGUGGGGAACUUAGCCAGAUCCUGUCUCAAAAUAAAUAGGAGGGGAGGGGCUACGGACAUAGCUCAAUAUGAAGGAUCUAAGGUUAAUCUCCAGUACUACCAAAAAGAAAUAAAGAGCUGACUAAAGUACAUUAU
rnacentral:lncRNA from 1 species